AUGGCCCUCUUUGAGGAGUUCUAUGUUGGUUCCAUCGAUCUUACCAGGCUGAACUUUGGGAUUAUCACCCUCAUUCCCAAAGUAACUGGAGCUUCGGAUAUUCGCCAGUUCCGACCGAUUACGGUGAUCAAUGUCAUCUUCCGCAUCCUUGCGAAGGGGUACGCCAUUAGGGAGGCCCCAAUAGUGGACCGGAUCACACACCCGGAUCGGUCGGCAUUCAUCUAGGGCCGGUAUAUCCUUGAUGGAGUCCUAGUGUUUCACGAAGCACUCCAUGAGGUGCACACCAAACACCUCAAGGCAGUUUUCCUGAAAUUAGACUUCCACAAGGCAUCGACACGGUCAGUUGGCCCUUCCUUCGGGAAUGCUUGCUCCGGAAGGGAUUCGAAGAUCGCUGGGUGA
rnacentral:rRNA from 1 species